UAUCUGGUUGGGUUUAUAGACUGGACAGAGAAGUAGUGUUUGCAGAAAGGGAUUUCUAUUUUGAGAAGAAUCUUCAUAUAUAACUGAAUAUUAAAACAUUCUGGCCGGCCUCGGGUCUGAGUCCCCAAGAAUCGGAUGCUAUUUUUCGUGUCAACACUCAUGACCACAUGCUGCCCAUGACCUUGGAACAAUAUAUACCCAGCGAGGUGCGAUGUACACAACUUCUGAAACGGCAUUGACUGUCUGAGGAUAUAAACUGUGUGAGGAUAUAGACUGUCUGAGGAUAUAGACUGUCAAGGGCUGCUCAGGUGGCGAGGCAAAAGCAAUCAAGCGUGAAGCCGGCCUAAGAUUGGGCGGCCCAGAAUCGGGAGUUGAGU